rnacentral:rRNA from 1 species
CCUACGGGAGGCAGCAGUGGGGAAUCUUACACAAUGGGGGAAACCCUGAUGCAGCAACGCCGCGUGAAGGAAGACGGUUUUCGGAUUGUAAACUUCUGUUCUUAGUGAAGAAUAAUGACGGUAGCUAAUGAGCAAGCCACGGCUAACUAUGUGCCAGCAGCCGCGGUAAUACGUAGGUGGCAAGCGUUGUCCGGAUUUACUGGGUGUAAAGGGAGCGCAGGCGGGACGCCAAGUCAGCUGUGAAAGCUACGGGCUUAACUUGUAGACUGCAGUUGAAACUGGGUUUCUUGAGUGAAGAAGAGGUUGGCGGAAUUCCGGGUGUAGCGGUGAAAUGCGUAGAUAUUCGGAGGAACACCAGUGGCGAAGGCGACCAACUGGGCUUUAACUGACGCUGAGGCUCGAAAGUGUGGGGAGCAAACAGGAUUAGAUACCCGGGUAGUC